rnacentral:rRNA from 1 species
GACGAACGCUGGCGGCGUGCUUAACACAUGCAAGUCGAACGAAGUGGCGAACGGGUGAGUAACGCGUAAUCACCGUGCCCUUCAGUGGGGGACAACAGUUGGAAACGACUGCUAAUACCGCAUACUGAAGGAGGGGCUUGCGUCUGAUUAGCUAGUUGGAGGGGUAACGGCCUACCAAGGCGAUGAGCAGUAGCAGGUCGGGGGGGAUGAACGGCCACAUUGGGACGGAGACCCGGCCCAGACUCCUACGGGGGGCAGCAGUGGGGAAUCUUCCGCAAUGGACGAAAGUCUGACGGAGCACAGCCGGGUGAGUGAGGACGGCCUUCGGGGUGUAAAGCUCUGUUAAUCGGGACGCGGUACCGGAAUAGAAAGCCACGGCUAACUACGUGCCAGCAGCCGCGGUAAUUC